rnacentral:rRNA from 1 species
UACAGGGGGUGCAAACGUUGCUCGGAAUCAUUGGGCGUAAAGCGCACGUAGGCGGUCUGUUAUGUCGGAUGUGAAAGCCCUUGGCUUAACUGAGGAAGUGCAUCCGAAACUGGCAGGCUAGAGUACUAAAGAGGGUCGCGGAAUUCCCGGUGUAGAGGUGAAAUUCGUAGAUAUCAGGAAGAACACCUAUGGCGAAGGCAGCUCUCUGGGACGGUACUGACGCUGAGACGCGAAAGCGUGGGGAGCGAACAGG